CGAGUCUCUCUGGGGGACAGAAGAACAAGAAGAAGGGCUGCCAUUAGAAAACAUCAUCUGUGUUUAAUUAGACAGAGCAGCACAGACACAUCUGUGCGAGCGAAUUCCAAAAGAAGAAGAAGAAACAGAUUUCUAUAUGUCUUGCCAGAGGAGUGGACUCGAGUCACAUGACUUCAACUCAGGUCAUGAAUCUGAUGACUUGACAAAAUAAAAAAAAGACUUGCAACUCA